AUGGGCUGCUCUUCCCGAGGCCGGCAGCCCUGCAGCAAUUUGAUAGGCACAGGACAAGCAUCCUUGGGUGUGACUGGGGGAGUCUGGGUCACAAUGCGUGCUUUAUCAUUGGAGAGAGUCAGAGACCCAGGCCAAUGGACAAAUGCACUUAACCCCUCAAAACUGCUGUCUUUACUGCGUGAGGUUAUUUUCCUCCACCAGAGACUCUAUCUCAGUAGCAGAAAGUCAUUCAUGAACAAAGACCCGGGACCAAGCCAACUCAUAUUACUAGCGGGAAACAGCCGCGCCAGCAGCUCACGCCUGCAUCCUCCUCUCCCGCUGUCUCACUGGACCCUGCAGUUAGUUAUCUGGGACUUCAGCAGAGCAGAGCAGAGCCUCAUCUUACAGAGGUCAAGUGUCCCGCUGCUGCAGGGCCUUCAACCCGGGUGGGACGUGGCCAGCAGUGUGGGUUUCCUAGAUUCCAAGAAGGGAGACCAAGUCUUUGACAGAGGCAGAAAUCAUGCCACACUAGGGAUAACUGGCUGGAAUCGAGGGCAGCUGGAGGACAUUCUAGCAGAUGUGAGCCACUGCCUUCAAGUUCCAGGGAAGCUGGCUUUGGAAACAGACUUGGCCUUGUUCUGUUGGAUUCAGAAGUCAGAUAGAGAGAGAGCCAGGAGGCCAAAGCUAUGGGGGAGGGGCCAGAUUCCAACUCCACAUACGUGAGGCCCUUCUCAUCAUUCUAGCUGUUUGAGCAUGAAACACAUGGCUUCAGCCAGGCCUGAGUCUGCUCCAGCACACAUGCCUGAGGAGAGAGGUACAGGCUGGACAAUUGCCUUCAGAGGAUGAUAUGGAGGGUUUGGGGUACGAUGAAGAGGAUUUCUAAGAAUCAAUUAUGCUGAGAAAUUUUAACAAAUAAAAUAAGGCAGAGCAUUACAAUGAUAAAACAGUAAGAAAAUGCUAAAUAGUAACAGUAGACAUAUCUAACCUAAUAUCUUGGUGUCCAUGUCAUUCUAAUAAUGACAUGUAUUUGGCCAAUGGAUUAAUAAAGUUGUUAUUAAAAGUUUCUCUCCAGUUUUUGCUAUCUUGGUAUAAUAUAUCUAGCAGGAUAAAAAUAAUCUAUCAAUAAUCACAUGGUUAUUAUGCUGGUGCUCAAAAUAUACUGAACUGUAUGAGUGAAAUAAUAUUUUCAACUAAGGUAAGUAUAGUAUUGCCAGAAUUUAUAUAUUAUAUAGAUCUACAAUUUAAUUUUCAAUUUGUUCAUAAAAUCUCAUUUGCUGUUUUUUAUCUUAGGAACCCAAGGGCUGUUUAACUUAGACAUUUAUGAUGUACUAAAGUUAUUGUAAGGCUAUUUAAAUAGUUAAGCAUUAAGUGCACAUGAAUUUACAGUUCUAUAAAUGUCCUCUUGAACUAUGUAAGAUACAGCACUCCUAGAAACCCAGCUGAGAAACCCAAACCCAGUUUCACACUGCCAAAUAAUUCAUUUUCAAUCAGGAAGCAAUGUUUCUAUCUUCACAGAUUUAAGUUCAUGAGCUUGACCAGGACACAGAAAGAGUCUGAUUAGUCAAUCUGGUCACUUAGCAAAUAUCUAUUCCUUGUCUGAGGCCAGGCACUCUGAAUACAGCCAUGAGAAAGACAAACACAGCCCCUGCCCUCAUGGGGUGAAAACUUGAUUAUUCAUCUCAUAAGUGCGACACAGGCUGGAAGCUAACAGGGGUAACGGGAGCUAAGGCUGGGGUGGGGGAGGGCACGUCAGGCACAGCUGCCAUGGAGAAAGAACAUGUCCUUAAGAACAUGAGCCCUAAAGGCUGGAGUGAAGGAGGCGAGGGGGAUGUCUGCGGGGCGUGGGGUCCUUGCAGGUGGAGGAAACCUCACGUCUCACCGUGUGAGAACACAGCCCUUCAGACCUGGCAGCCAGAGGCCAGGCAGGGUGGCAGGGACAGGAAUGCAGUGCAGAUGCACUUUACUCUUUACUUCCAUUUAUCUUUAUCCUAUGCAUCUUUUUUUUUUUUUUUUUUUUUUUUUUUUUUUUUUUUUUGACACGGAGUCUCGCUCUGUCACCCAGGCUGGAGUGCAGUGGCUGGAUGUCAGCUCACUGCAAGCUCCGCCUCCUGGGUUUACACCAUUCUCCUGCCUCAGCCUCCCGAGUAGCUGGGACUACAGGCUCCCGCCACCUCGCCCGGCUAGUUUUUUGUAUUUUUUAGUAGAGACGGGGUUUCACCGUGUUAGCCAGGAUGGUCUCGAUCUCCUGACCUCGUGAUCCACCUGUCUCGGCCUCCCAAAGUGCUGGGAUUACAGGCUUGAGCCACCGCGCCCAGUAUCCUAUGCAUCUUUAUUCCUUAUCUGAGCACCCAUCAAAGUAUGCGUGUGUGUGUGUGCACUCGCGUGUGUGUGUGUGUUUAUUGGGUCUAGAUGUAAGAAGUCCUCCUUACAACUGACACGAGUCAAAAACUGUGAAAAAUAUGGCUUUCUCCUGAGUGAACUGGGAAACUAUCGAAGGUUUUUGAGCCACAAUGCUGACCAGACUGCAUUUUAAAAGUUCUACCCUGGGGCCGCGUGCGGUGACUCACACCCGGAAUCCCACCAUUUUGGGAGGCCAGGCAGGGAGAUCACCUGAGGUCAGGAGUUCAAGACCAGCCUGGCCAACAUGGUGAAACCCCGUCUCUACCAAAAAAAAAAAAAAAAAAAAAUGAAAAUUAGCCAGGUGUGGUGGUAGGCACCUGUAAUCUCAGCUACUCAGGUGGCUGAGGCAGGAGAAUUGCUUGAACCUGGGAGGCAGAAGUUGCAGUGAGCCAAAAUCAUGCCACUGAACUGAAGCCUGGGCAACAGAGCAAGACUAUUUCUCAAAAAAAAAAAAAAAAAAUGUUCUACCCUGGUGGCAGAGAAGAGAAGGGACUGACGGGGAGUGAGACUGGAAGCCAGGGAAGCGGCUGCAGUGGAGAGAGCUGGUGCUGUCCCGCAUCUGGGUGUGCCAGUGAGGGUGAAGAAGUGGAUAAGUGUGAAAACUAUUCAGGAAAGAGAAACACCAGGAUGUGGCAGUGAAUUGAAUAUGCGAAGUGAGGUGACGGGAGGAGACCGCAGUCCGACUCCUAGGAAGCUGGCCUGACAAUGGCUUGUACACUGGGGUCACUUUCUACGAAAGGGCAUUGUGGGCGGGAAACAGGUUUGGGAAAUGCCAAGUGUGAAGUCCUGCAAGCUGUCAAUCUGGAGAUGUUGAGCAAGUCGUUGGAUACGUAGUCUGGAGCUUGGAGAGAUGGACAGGAUUGGAAUGAGGUUUACCCAGCAGGUAAUUCCCGAGCCGUACCCUUUGCCAGAUGCUGCACCUUAUGUUCUAGACCUCCAUUAGUAAAUGAACACAUGCUAACACUGCCACCUGGAACCUAGAGCAGCUGCCAUUUAAAUGGAUCGGAGGCACAGGGAUGGACACUUACCUAGGGUGAGUGUUUGCAGUAUAUUGAAAUGGGCUGCUACACCCAUGAUUGAAAUAUGAGAAUACUCAGUAGAAGGAGACUGAGACAUGGAAAAGCCAGCAGCAUGUUCCAUCCUAAGAGCCAAGGAAACAAAGCAUUGCCAAGAGGUCGAUGCAAAUAUCAAAUUGAAAUGGCAGAUGUCGCUCAUGUGAUGGAGGUACUAACAUUUUUCUCUCCUACUUCCCAGAUAUGCUCUGAGAAUGAAUAAGGGAAGAAAUAUUAAAGCCCUAGAAAUUUCAGGAUAGAAAUUACAUAUAAAAUAGUUUUCGUUAUCUUUAUUAUCGUCAUUAAAACAGUAAUGUCAAAGGUCAAUGCCAGAAACCACAACUGUAAAAAGUUAAAGUGCCACCAUCCAUGAUGACUUUUCUUUCAGAGAUUAGAAACAGAACAGGGGGCUAUAUGAAAAAAUAAAACAUGAUGAAAUUGUAAAAAGAGAAAACAGAAAAAUAAAUCAGAUUCAUAUUUCCUGACAUUCCCAGUAAACGGUAGUUAUUUAUUUGUUGAUGUGUUUAUUUAUUUACUAUUCACCAUAUGAAGAUGCGUAGAAUACAGUUAGUGCUUUUCUGAUAUUGAAUAGUCUCACAAAUCAAAGAACUUCCACUCUCUUGAUGGCUAAGUCUUAUGAACACAUAGAAGCUAUCAGAGAUCUCACGCCAGUGAAAUUAACUCAGAGCUUUGACUCCUGAGAUGCUGCAUUGCCAGACAGAAUCCUACAUCUUUAGGAUGAAACCUAAGCAGUAUAAUCCCGUGAGAUGAGGUAGAAAUGUAAAGUGUAAUGAUUGUCAUUGUGGUUAUUAAUGAUCUCUGUGAUAAUUGGAGGACACUCAGGACAGAUGGCAGCUAACUGCAAUACGGGACCCUGGAUUGCAUCCUGCAGCAGAAAAAAGGACAUUAAUAGAAAACCAACUAAGGUCUGUACUUUAGUUAAUAUUGGACUAAUGUUAAUUUCCUGAUUUUGACUAUUGUAAUACAAAUGUGUCAGAUGCUAACAUUAGGGGAAGCUGGAUGAAGCGUAUUCCGAACAGGAAUUCUCUCUGCUUUACCUCACAUCCAU
rnacentral:lncRNA from 1 species